rnacentral:rRNA from 1 species
AUUGAACGCUUGCGGCAUGCCUUACACAUGCAAGUCGAACGGUAACGGGCCUUCGGGUGCCGACGAGUGGCGAACGGGUGAGUAAUACAUCGGAACGUGCCCGAUCGUGGGGGAUAACGAGGCGAAAGCUUUGCUAAUACCGCAUACGAUCUACGGAUGAAAGCAGGGGACCGCAAGGCCUUGCGCGGACGGAGCGGCCGAUGGCAGAUUAGGUAGUUGGUGGGAUAAAAGCUUACCAAGCCGACGAUCUGUAGCUGGUCUGAGAGGAUGAUCAGCCACACUGGGACUGAGACACGGCCCAGACUCCUACGGGAGGCAGCAGUGGGGAAUUUUGGACAAUGGGCGCAAGCCUGAUCCAGCCAUGCCGCGUGCAGGAUGAAGGCCUUCGGGUUGUAAACUGCUUUUGUACGGAACGAAAAGCCUUCUUUUAAUACAGGAGGGUCAUGACGGUACCGUAAGAAUAAGCACCGGCUAACUACGUG